AUUGAACGCUGGCGGCAGGCCUAACACAUGCAAGUCGAACGGUAACAGGAAGAAGCUUGCCUCUUUGCUGACGAGUGGCGGACGGGUGAGUAAUGUCUGGGAAACUGCCUGAUGGAGGGGGAUAACUACUGGAAACGGUAGCUAAUACCGCAUAACGUCGCAAGACCAAAGAGGGGGACCUUCGGGCCUCUUGCCAUCGGAUGUGCCCAGAUGGGAUUAGCUAGUAGGUGGGGUAACGGCUCACCUAGGCGACGAUCCCUAGCUGGUCCGAGAGGAUGACCAGACACACUGGAACUGAGACACGGUCCAGACUCCUACGGGAGGCAGCAGUGGGGAAUAUUGCACAAUGGGCGCAAGCCUGAUGCAGCCAUGCCGCGUGUAUGAAGAAGGCCUUCGGGUUGUAAAGUACUUUCAGCGGGGAGGAAGGGAGUAAAGUUAAUACCUUUGCUCAUUGACGUUACCCGCAGAAGAAGCACCGGCUAACUCCGUG
rnacentral:rRNA from 1 species